rnacentral:rRNA from 1 species
AUUGAACGCUGGCGGCAGGCCUAACACAUGCAAGUCGAGCGGAUGAAGGGAGCUUGCUCCUGGAUUCAGCGGCGGACGGGUGAGUAAUGCCUAGGAAUCUGCCUGGUAGUGGGGGAUAACGUCCGGAAACGGGCGCUAAUACCGCAUACGUCCUGAGGGAGAAAGUGGGGGAUCUUCGGACCUCACGCUAUCAGAUGAGCCUAGGUCGGAUUAGCUAGUUGGUGGGGUAAAGGCCUACCAAGGCGACGAUCCGUAACUGGUCUGAGAGGAUGAUCAGUCACACUGGAACUGAGACACGGUCCAUACUCCUACGGGAGGCAGCAGUGGGGAAUAUUGGACAAUGGGCGAAAGCCUGAUCCAGCCAUGCCGCGUGUGUGAAGAAGGUCUUCGGAUUGUAAAGCACGUUAAGUUGGGAGGAAGGGCAGUAAGUUAAUACCUUGCUGUUUUGACGUUACCAACAGAAUAAGCACCGGCUAACUUCGUG